GACGAACGCUGGCGGCGUGCUUAACACAUGCAAGUCGAACGGAAAGGCCCUGCUUUUGUGGGGUGCUCGAGUGGCGAACGGGUGAGUAACACGUGAGUAACCUGCCCUUGACUUUGGGAUAACUUCAGGAAACUGGGGCUAAUACCGGAUAGGAGCUCCUGCUGCAUGGUGGGGGUUGGAAAGUUUCGGCGGUUGGGGAUGGACUCGCGGCUUAUCAGCUUGUUGGUGGGGUAGUGGCUUACCAAGGCUUUGACGGGUAGCCGGCCUGAGAGGGUGACCGGCCACAUGGGGACUGAGAUACGGCCCAGACUCCUACGGGGGGCAGGAGUGGGGAAUAUGGCACAAGGGGCGGAAGCCUGAUGCAGCAACGCCGCGUGGGGGAUGGCGGCCUUCGGGUUGUAAACCGCUUUCGCCGGUGACGAAGCGUGAGUGGCGGUAAUGGGAAAAGAAGCACCGGCUAACUACGU
rnacentral:rRNA from 1 species